rnacentral:rRNA from 1 species
GACGAACGCUGGCGGCGUGCCUAAUACAUGCAAGUUGAGCGAUGAAGAUUGGUGCUUGCACCAAUUUGAAGAGCAGCGAACGGGUGAGUAACGCGUGGGGAAUCUGCCUUUGAGCGGGGGACAACAUUUGGAAACGAAUGCUAAUACCGCAUAACAACUUUAAACAUAAGUUUUAAGUUUGAAAGAUGCAAUUGCAUCACUCAAAGAUGAUCCCGCGUUGUAUUAGCUAGUUGGUGAGGUAAAGGCUCACCAAGGCGAUGAUACAUAGCUGACCUGAGAGGGUGAUCGGCCACAUUGGGACUGAGACACGGCCCAAACUCCUACGGGAGGCAGCAGUAGGGAAUCUUCGGCAAUGGACGAAAGUCUGACCGAGCAACGCCGCGUGAGUGAAGAAGGUUUUCGGAUCGUAAAACUCUGUUGGUAGAGAAGAACGUUGGUGAGAGUGGAAAGCUCAUCAAGUGACGGUAACUACCCAGAAAGGGACGGCUAACUACGUG